rnacentral:tRNA from 1 species
UAGAUUGAAGCCAGUAUGUUAGGGUAUUUAGCUGUUAACUAAAACUUCGUGGGGGUAGAGCCCACCAAUCUAG